UCGACAUGCAGGCAACGGCUCUCCUAAUUUGAAAUUCACCUGUCGUCUUUCAUCCAGCGAAUUCAUCCUCGCACAACACUGAGAUGAAGGCGAAGUCACCAUGAAAAGUUAAACGUUUACCGUUAAGCUACAGUAAUUGAUGUUGAAAAACUGAUGCAACCAAUCACUCCUCACUUGAUUAUUCAAGCCCAGAUUGUGAUGGACCUGGAAUGCGACACCAGUUACUCUUAAGACAAGAACCGAAUAAAGCACAGAUGUGGAGGUAUUUGCAGCCAAACUAACUGGAGGGAAGGAACCUUUAGUGUGGGUGAACAUACUACCUGGAUGUCCAACAAAGGCUGCACAAGAACUCAUUUGAUAGCACACAUUCUGUCCUGUCUACAUCUCUGAUGACCUGGAAGUGCUUCGACAUCAGAUCAUCAGAAGUGCUGCUGCCCUUUUUCACUGUCCCUUUCCACAUCAUUAGGCCUUCAUCAUUUCCUGUCUUGUAGCAGUAUUUUCACCUGUUUUUAAAAUUGUAAUAAUUUUUGAUGCAUUAAUUGUUGACUGGUUUUAAUGAUCAAUUGUUUAUUAGUGUUCUGUUGCUUUGUUAUAUUGAAUAAUUGCUACUGUUUUAGCAUGGUUUACACAAUAAACCUUUAUU
ensembl:processed_transcript